AGCGAACGCUGGCGGCAGGCCUAACACAUGCAAGUCGAACGAACCUUUCGGGGUUAGUGGCGGACGGGUGAGUCACCUGUGGGAACGUGACUUUAGGUUCGGAAUAACUCAGGGAAAUUUGUGAUAAUACCGAUAGUGCCCUUCGGGGGAAAGAUUUAUAGCUUUUUGAUCGGCCCGCUUUUGAUUUGCUAGUUGGUUGAGGUAAUGUCUUACCAUGGUGACUUUCAGUAUCUGGUUUGUGAGGAUGAGCAGCGACAUUGGGACUGAGGCACUGCACUAACUACUACGUAAGGCAGCAGUGGGGAAUCCUGCGCAAGGGGCGUAAGGCGGACGCAGCCAGUCCGCGUGAAUGAAGAAGGACUUAGGAAUGUAAAAUUCUUUGACAACGGACGAUAAUGACGUGACCCGGAGAAGAAGCCCCGGCUAACUUCGUG
rnacentral:rRNA from 1 species